AAAAUGGCGGACGGAGGAGCAGCGAGUCAAGAUGAGAGUUCAGCCGCGGCGGCAGCAGCAGCAGCUACUACUGGGCUGUAAACAGUGAUGCCAGCAAAAUGUUACUUCAGCUGAUGAAGUGAUGCUGUUUCGAGAAUUUGAAAGCAAUUUUUCAGUGGAUAAAGAAGUUGACAGCACGAUUUGUUGGAUGUGAUGAAGGAUUAAUCAGCAUACACCUUCACUUGUAUUAGCUUAAGAUGGAAUGGUUCUGGGCAAUAUAAAAUAACAGACUCAAGAAUGAACAAUCCGUCAGAAACCAGUAAACCAUCUAUGGAGAGUGGAGAUGGCAACACAGGCACAGGCACAGCUGCUGGCUGCUGCAGUGCAGCAGCACUCCGCCAGCCAGCAGCACAGUGCUGCUGGAGCCACCAUCUCCGCCUCUGCUGCCGCGCCCAUGACGCAGAUCCCCCUGUCUCAGCCCAUACAGAUCGCACAGGAUCUUCAACAACUGCAACAGCUUCAACAGCAGAAUCUCAACCUGCAACAGUUUGUGUUGGUGCAUCCAACCACCAAUUUGCAGCCAGCGCAGUUUAUCAUCUCACAGACGCCCCAGGGCCAGCAGGGUCUCCUGCAAGC
rnacentral:sRNA from 1 species